rnacentral:piRNA from 1 species
GCAGCAACUGCUGUGUGCCAUGCUUUUGC